GGGGCUGUAGCUCAGCUGGAAGAGCGCUGCCUUCGCAUGGCAGAGGUCAGGGGUUCGAGUCCCCUCAGCUCCA
rnacentral:tRNA from 1 species